GCCCUGGUGGCACAAUGGUUAAGCACUGGGCUGCUAACCUAAAGGCUGAUGGUUCAAACCCAUCCAACAGCC
rnacentral:tRNA from 1 species